rnacentral:rRNA from 1 species
GUAGUUCGAUCCGUGGCUCAGGACGACGCUGGCGGCGUGCUUAACACAUGCAAGUCGAACGCUGAAGCUCUGCCCUUGUGGUCGGGGUGGAUGAGUGGCGAACGGGUGAGUAACACGUGGGUAAUCUGCCCCAUACUCUGGGAUAACCCCUGGAAACGGGGGCUAAUACCGGAUAGGACAUUCUGCCGCAUGGUGGGGUGUGGAAAGUUCCGGCGGUAUGGGAUGGGCCCGCGGCCUAUCAGCUUGUUGGUGGGGUAAUGGCCUACCAAGGCGACGACGGGUAGCCGGCCUGAGAGGGUGAUCGGCCACACUGGGACUGAGACACGGCCCAGACUCCUACGGGAGGCAGCAGUGGGGAAUCUUGCGCAAUGGGCGAAAGCCUGACGCAGCGACGCCGCGUGGGGGAUGAAGGCCUUCGGGUUGUAAACCUCUUUCACCAUCGACGAAGCCCUUUGGGGUGACGGUAGGUGGGGAAGAAGCACCGGCUAACUACGUG